rnacentral:rRNA from 1 species
GACGAACGCUGGCGGCGUGCCUAAUACAUGCAAGUCGAACGCUGAAGGAGGAGCUUGCUUCUCUGGAUGAGUUGCGAACGGGUGAGUAACGCGUAGGUAACCUGCCUGGUAGCGGGGGAUAACUAUUGGAAACGAUAGCUAAUACCGCAUAAUAGUAGAUGUUGCAUGACAUUUGCUUAAAAGGUGCAAUUGCAUCACUACCAGAUGGACCUGCGUUGUAUUAGCUAGUUGGUGGGGUAACGGCUCACCAAGGCGACGAUACAUAGCCGACCUGCGAGGGUGGUCGGCCCAAAUGGGACUGAGGCACGGCCCAGACUCCUAAGGGAGGCAGCAGUAGGGAAUCUUCGGCAAUGGACGGAAGUCUGACCGAGCAACGCCGCGGGAGUGAAGAAGGUUUUCGGAUCGGAAAGAUCUGUUGUAAGAGAAGAACGAGUGUGAGAGUGGAAAGUUCACACUGUGACGGUAUCUUACCAGAAAGGGACGGCUAACUACGUG